AACUUUAAGGAGUGAUACACCUACUACAUAACCAGCACAAAGCAAGUCACCUCAUAUUUUGUCAGCCAAAACGUCGCACUUUUGCCAUCUGGGGGGACAGCAUAAUGCGCGGGGUGGAGCUGGCAAUCCCGGAGGCUUUAGCGUGGGUACACCCGGGAACCACACUCCAGAGGCAAUGACUACAUUUUGGACCAUAAAUUAUCAUAUU